rnacentral:misc_RNA from 1 species
UCCGGUUUGUCACCGGCGGUAUCCUAUGAGUCCCCAACUUAAUGCUGGCAACAUAGGACAGGGGUUGCGCUCGUUGCGGGACUUAACCCAACAUCUCACGCCACGAGCUGACGACAGCCAUGCACCACCUGUGAUGGUGUCCCGAAGGAAAGGUGUGUUUCCACACCGGUCGCCAACAUGUCAAACCCAGGUAAGGUUCUUCGCGUUGCGUCGAAUUAAACCACAUGCUCCGCUGCUUGUGCGGGUCCCCGUCAAUUCCUUUGAGUUUUAGCCUUGCGGCCGUACUCCCCAGGCGGGGCACUUAAUGCGUUAGCGCCGGCACGGGAGGAGUCGACACCUCCCACACAGCGAGUAAUCAACGUUUACAGUGUGGACUAC